rnacentral:lncRNA from 1 species
GGCGACAAUAUUAGUUUACUGAUCUAAACUUAAAAGUUAAAUUCGCAGUUAUAUUUAUAAAAUACGAAAGAAGAAAUAUAUGUUAUCGAAUAAUCAAAAGUCUAAGAACAACAAAAUCUUAACCAAUAUUUAUCAUUCUUCAUUUGGUUCCUGAAUUGGUUUAAUUUAAUCGUAUGAUGAAAAUGGCGAUUUAAACUAAAUCUGGCCUUUUUACAUAAAUUAUUUUAUCAUUACCUGUUGAAGCCAAAAUAAAAAAAAUACAUAAAAUUCCUAGGGAAUAAGGUUGACUGAUGGGAGAAGCCAUUUUGAAUAAGGUUUCACUGCUAAUUGUGUUUUGUAUUAUCUCUUUGUUCUUCUAUAUAAGAAUAAUAGCUAACAUGCAUGGGUUAUGUUGCAUUUAUAACAGCUACAAAGUAAAUUCCGGAACAUUUAUUGUUCAAUAAAUGGCUACAUAUUUAAUAUUCAUUGACUUGAAAUAUUAAUCAUAAUGUUAAAGAGACAACAAAAUUUAGAGUUUAUCUUAUUUAACAUUGAUUAAUUGUUAUAAUAAUUCAAUAAAUAUUAAAUAAGACAAGUUAUAGUUAUUUUUGAUUGAUUUUUUUUAUUACUAAAUAUUUUUGUUGAAUCAAUCACAUUAAAACUUGUAUAUAUGUUACUUUCCUCAAAUUCCUAAAUAGGAUCUCAUUCAUGAGUGAGAUCUUUAUUGACAUAAAUGUAUGUAUGACAUGAUAUCCAAAUUUAUAACCCUAAAUAAUGAUGAGUUUAGAAGUAGUCACAAGCAACUAGCAAGUAAGAUUAUCACCAGGGUCAACACCUAAUUGUGAACAAUAUUGUUUGUAAUAAUUAACCCUAGCCUGAACAGUGGUAGGGUUAGCACCAUCACACUCAAGUUGACCAUUGAUGGCUCUAAUGGUUGCACCAAAGCCUUGGCUAACCACAGGUCUCACAUUCUCCAUCCAAUACCAAAGUCCAGUCUUGAAGGCCACAACAGGGUCAUUGGCCACAGUCUCAGGUGCAUUGAGCCCAUCAAACCCAAUGUUCUUCCCUGCAGGCCCAUAGUUGAAGUUCCAUGAUAUUUGAAUUGGGCCACGCCCAUAAUACCCUUUGUUUGGGUUGCAUGGAUAUUCUGUGUUUGUUUCAUCACAAUAGUCCCUUGAUGCACCAUCUAUCUCUUCUAUGUAGCAAAAAUCUGCAUUCACAUUUACAUCUUGCAAUAAUUAUUUUGGAUAAUAUUUUUGAAAUAAAUAAAAGUACAGCAAACUCUUAAAUAGAGUUUAAAUCAUGAUAAACUAGUCAUUAAUUUAUUGGGUUGAGAGAUACCGUAGACAACAAAAAAAAGACAGCAUACAUAUAUAAAAGUUCCUUUGCUUGUAAAGAUAAGGACAGAGAAACAAAAUAUCUUGCUCUUUUUUUGUAUCUUUUAUUAAAAAAAUCUGUUUUUUUUUAAAGAUUAUUGAAGAAGAAACUGAAAAUAAGUCAAUUUUUUUUAAUUAAAUAAUUUGUUAUCAGAAUAAUCAAAUUUAUUAUAGUAGAAUAAUCAAACCUAAAAAAUAAAAUAGAACAAUCAAACAUUUUUAUAAUAAAAAAAUAUUUUUUUAUGAAACACUAAAUACUUAUUUCUAAACAUACCUAGGGCGACAAUAUUAGUUUACUGAUCUAAACUUAAAAGUUAAAUUCGCAGUUAUAUUUAUAAAAUACGAAAGAAGAAAUAUAUGUUAUCGAAUAAUCAAAAGUCUAAGAACAACAAAAUCUUAACCAAUAUUUAUCAUUCUUCAUUUGGUUCCUGAAUUGGUUUAAUUUAAUCGUAUGAUGAAAAUGGCGAUUUAAACUAAAUCUGGCCUUUUUACAUAAAUUAUUUUAUCAUUACCUGUUGAAGCCAAAAUAAAAAAAAUACAUAAAAUUCCUAGGGAAUAAGGUUGACUGAUGGGAGAAGCCAUUUUGAAUAAGGUUUCACUGCUAAUUGUGUUUUGUAUUAUCUCUUUGUUCUUCUAUAUAAGAAUAAUAGCUAACAUGCAUGGGUUAUGUUGCAUUUAUAACAGCUACAAAGUAAAUUCCGGAACAUUUAUUGUUCAAUAAAUGGCUACAUAUUUAAUAUUCAUUGACUUGAAAUAUUAAUCAUAAUGUUAAAGAGACAACAAAAUUUAGAGUUUAUCUUAUUUAACAUUGAUUAAUUGUUAUAAUAAUUCAAUAAAUAUUAAAUAAGACAAGUUAUAGUUAUUUUUGAUUGAUUUUUUUUAUUACUAAAUAUUUUCAAAAAAGAGUAGUAUCGUUUUUGUCCCUAAUAUUUAGGGUAAGUCUCAAAGUUGUCUUUAAUGUUUAAAUCGUCCUAUUUAAGUUUCUUACGUUUCAAAAUUGGCUCAAUAUUUUCUUACCGUUAGAGAUCUGUUAAUAGAAUUGACGGCGGGAUAAAAUUGUGACGAUUUUGAAACUUUAAGGACUUAAAUAGGGCAAAAACGUUGGGAAUAAAACCAAUACUUAAAAAUAAAUUUUAAUUUUAUCCUUCAAUAAUAUCAAUAUUUUACCGUACAUAGUUUUUCAAUUAUUUUUUAAUCACAUUUAAGUAAAUUACAAUUAAUCACAUUACUUUUAUUCUAAAUAAAUUUUUAUUUUUAUAAUUUUACUCUUAAAAAUUUUUACUCAUCAUAAAAUAUUUGUGAAAUAAUUAGUACAUAAACUUGCAAAAAAGAAAAAAAUGAUACAUAUACAAUAAAGUAUAAAUUAUACAUUUUGACUCUAAUUCUUUAAUGUUUAAUUUAGUUAAACUUUAUUUUUUAUUUUAUUCUUCGAUAAUAUCAAUUUUUUACGGUAGAUAAUUAUUCAAUUAUUUUUUAAAUUUUAUUCUUGAUCACAUUAUUUUUCUGAGUCAAUUUAACUUUUAUUAAGAGCAAAAUUAAAAAAUAAAUUAAGUAAUUAUUUGUCGUAAAAAAAUGAAAUUAUUGAAGAAAAGAUUAAAAAGCUUUUAAAUUUUAUUUUUGUUCUUCAAUAAUUUAAAAUUUUUUUCGACAAAUAAUUANNNNNNNNNNNNNNNNNNNNNNNNNNNNNNNNNNNNNNNNNNNNNNNNNNNNNNNNNNNNNNNNNNNNNNNNUUUAUUUUUUAAUUUUGUUAUUAAUAAAAAAUAAAUUCACUUAAAAAAAUAUUGUGAUUAAGAAUAAAAUUAAAAAAAUAAUUGAGUAAUUAUUUACCGUAAAAGUUUGAUAUUAUUGAAGAAUCAAAUUAAAAAUAAAGUUUAACUAAAUCAAACAUUAAAGAAUUUCGAUACAUUAGAGACAAAAUAUUAUUGCGUAAGUUUAUGUACUAGUUAUUCUAUAAACAUUUUUUAAUGAGUAAAAAUCUUUAAGAGUAAAAUUAUAAAAAAUAAAUUUAUUUAGAAUAGAUGUGAUUAAAAAAUGAUUGAAUAAUUAUGUACCGUGAAAAAAUUGAUAUUAUUGAAGGAGAAAAUUAAAAUUUAUUUUUAUGUAUCAUUUUUGUCCCCAACAUUUUUUUUCUAUUUAAGUUUCUAAUAUUUUAAAUCGUCUCAAUUUUGUCCCAAUCGUUAAUUUUGUUAACAGAUUCCUAAUGACAAAAGAAUAUUGAGUCAAUUUUAAAAUAUUAAAAAUUUAAAUAGAACAAUUUAAAUAUUAGAGACAAUUUUAAAUCUUAUCUCGAGCAUUAAAGACAAAAACGAUGCUUGAGUGAUGGGAGAAGUCAUUUUGAAUAAGGUUUCACUGCUAAUUGUGUUUUGUAUUAUCUCUUUG